CAUCACUGCUGUUUAAUUCUAGAGUAUUUUCAUUGCCCCUCCUUCCAGAAAAAUUCUGAAUACCUCCCAUACCCACUAGCACUUCCGGCUUCCCUUUUCCUUAGCCUCUGUCAUCCACUAGUGUACUUUCCUGUCCACAGAUUUUCCCAUGUGGACAUUUUGGGUAAAUGUUUAUUUGUAUGACAGGCCUGUGUUUCUAGCUCUCUUCAUGUUUUAAGGACAUCCAUUUUGUUGUAUGUAUUGCUACUUGGUUCCUUUUUAUGGCUGAGUAAUAGUCCAUCACGUGGACACACCACAUGGACACACCACAAUCCGCUGACUAGUUGAGUUGUUGGUACUUUUUGGCUAUUGUGAAUAAUGCUGCAAAGAAAGCUUGCAUACAGAUUUUGUAUGAACAUAUUUGAUAACAUGUUUGGUGCUGCUGUCAAGUUUUGCUCUGUUGUUACAUGGUUACAAAUUGAGAAUCAUCCCCCAUAACUUGGGGAUGAGUUGACUUUUUUUUUUUUUAUCUUUGUGAAACUUCCCCCUUCAUCCCUAGUAGAGUUUCUGCCUUAUGAUCUACUUUGCAUUGCAUGGUAGAUCAGUUUUCUUUUUUCUUUCUCUUUUGAAAUGAUUUAACGUUUUUAGAGUGAUUUUACAGCAAAGGAAGGUAAGAGAUUUCCAUGUACUCCCCAGCCCCACACCCGCUAGCUUCUCCAUGAUCAGCAUCCCCUGCCAGUGAUGCAUAUCAUUGAAUUUGAUGAACCCACACGACACAGCGUAAUCACCCAAAGUCUGUGGUUAGCUUUAGAGUUCACUCUUGGUGGUGCACAUUCUGUGGGUUUGGACAAGUGUAUGGUGAAAUGUACCCACUGCAGCAGAAGAGGCUUUUCACUGCCCUAAAACCCCUCUGUGCUCUGCCUGUCCAUCCCUUCUACCUUCUCACAUCCCUAACCCAGUCGUUUUCCUAUCUCCACAGUUUUGCUUUUCCAGAAUGUUCUACAGUGUGGAGUCUUUUCAGAUUGGCUUCGUUCACUUGGUAAUAUUCAUUUAAGGUUCCUUCAUGUCUUCUCAUGGCUUGAUAACUCAUUCUCUUUACCGGAGAAUAAUAUUCCAUUUUCUGGAUGUACCUCAGUUUAUC
rnacentral:lncRNA from 1 species